rnacentral:lncRNA from 1 species
GUCUCCAACCUCUUCCGCUGCCUGCGCUCACGGCACUUACCUCCACAGUCGGGAUCGGCGCAGUCAGCUGCUCCGGAGUCAGGCUCCCGAACUCCUCGGCUAGAACAUCCAUUCCAUUCACGGUAGAGGAAGAAGUCGGCAGAAUGUUCACAUCCGCCCGUGCGGCUCCAAGCAAGUAGCACGCGGAGAGUGGUGUGCGUUCUCCUCCGGUGUCCCCGUGGCGCUUGUUUACGGGGAGGCGUUUCAAAAGGUUCCGCCUGGUCAGGGCCUAACCUGCGGAGGAACCCGGAAGUGACCGAGCCGGAUGUGGAAAACUACACCCACUGGUGUACUUCCGAGGUCUCGCCGGGCUAAUCCUAGCCUCUUGACAGGCUCAUUUCCAAAGGAAACGUCAGAGGGACGGAGUUUGUUACCACUACACCGAAUAAACGAAGGAUUGCACAUAAUCCUCCCACGGCAGCACAGACACCUAUAAUCCCAGCAUUUAGAAGCUAGAGGUAGGAGGGCAUCCAGAAAUUCAAGGGCAUCCUUGGCUACCUAACAAGGUCGAGGCCAGCCUGGGCUACAUGAAACCCUGUCUCCAAAGAAAAGGUAAUGUAUUAAUAACAUUGAUUGGUGAAAGAUUUCAAGGAUGGCAACGGAGAAAGCAUAAGAAUUGCUAAAAGUUGUAUUCCAUUAAUUUUUAAAAAAUUAGAUACACCUAUAAAAAAUCUCUAUGAAUAGUAAACACACAGUUGGUAGAAGACAAAAGGAUUUGUCACUGAAAUUGGAAAUGAGUUCAUGCAAGUCCAAUGGUAAGAAAAAUCCCAUGGGAAGAAGAGGUAAAAGAUGCCAACAGUUUUUAAAUGAGUUUCAGUUUGGGAACAUACAAAAAUUGUGGAGAUGGAUGGUGUCACAUGAGUGUGUACAAUGCUCCUGGCCAUUUAAUAGUUGAACUAUUUAAUAGUUCACCUGUAUAAUUAGCACCAUCUAAUAAUAUGUGUUCUUUUUUUUUUUUAAACCUGGUCCAAGGUAAUCUGCGUACAGAGUUAGCUAGUUAAAUUUCAGUGCUUGUAUCUAAACGUUGUGCUGAUAGACUUCUGAAACUAAGUGAAGAAAGAAAGAAAAAAAUUACAGGCCACCAAGAUGGCUCAGUAUGUUAAGUCACCUGCCACAAAGCUUGAAAAGCCGCGUUCAGCCCCCAAGACCCACAUUGUAGAAGGAGAGAAGCAACUCUAAAGAGCUGUCCUCUGAUCCCCAUACUCACAUGUAAGACAAAUCAUUUAAAACUAAGAAUGAUCAGCCCCCCCCCCCCUUAAAUCCUUAAGAUUUACUCAGAGAAACUACAUUUGAAUGGUCCCUGUGAGUUAUUAUACCAGAGAGCACCCUACUUAGUGUAGUCUGGAAGGGGUUGGGAAAGGGAGCUGAAGACUUGAGGACAUCAAGUUUGGCUCAGGUGUGUCAGCUGUCUUCUACAAAGUCAUCUUGGAUUCCCACUAUGAAGAUGGUUCUACUGUAAACCAGAUCACAGACACCUGGAGAACUAAAAAAUCUCAGCUUUCUGAUUGGCAGGCUGGAGCUGGAAAUCUGCAUUUCUAGCAAGAUCUCUGCUGCUGUGACCUAAUACCAUAACCUCUGUACUUGUCUAGUUCUUCAGUCUGUGAAUGCUGGAAUGAAAAUGGCCUUGCAUUCCAGGUUCUAGUGCAUUGUUUGUUCCUUAAUAAGUUUGUGUUGAAUUCAUAAUUUGAAAAUAGAAUUGCAGUAGGUAAUAAUAAGUUUAACAUUGUAUUUCUGUUUUUCACCGAGUUUUUAAAGUUUCUUUUGAAAUGAAGGACACUUUGGAGGAUGCAGUCCCUAAUCUUCAUGGCUACACUUAGUUGACAGUGAUGAUGUUGGCUAUUAGACCACAAUUCCUUGUAAGAUUUCUUGCAUUACACCUGUAUCCCAGAUCAAACCCAUGACUUCUUUUUUAUCUCUAGGAGGCUAGACUUUGGAAGCAAGGUGGGGAAAAAGCCAGGGGUAGUUUUGUGCUUCCUCAGUAUUAUGCUACCAUAUCCUUUUACUGAGGUAUUAAUACAAAAGCCUAAAGCAUAAGGUGUGGGAGCUCCCGGAGGACAAGUGCUGUGCAUCCUGAGCCAUCCUUUAUACAAGGCGAAUGGGUAUGUGUUAGCCAAGUGAAAAGUUAUCCAAUGCCAUGGGGGCAAGAAUGGCUGACUGAGGGACACUGUAAUCUGUAAUGGGAGAGGUGUUUAGGACUCUGGGAAACUGGGAAAAGUGUACAUUAAUUUGAACAUUACUCCUUAACAGGUAUUUGAUUGCUAUCUUUAGGUGGAUUCUCUAAUUAUCCACCCUUGGUGGUAAGUAGAGAUCUUCAUUUGACAAGCUAAGGCAGUGGUUAAGAAAUUUGGCUCACACCUUUAAUCUCAGCACUUAGGAGGCAGAAAGGCAGGUGAGUUUCUAAGUUCAAGGCUAGCCUGACCUACAGAGUAAGUUUGAAGACAGCCAGGGCUACACAAAAAAACCCUGUCUC